rnacentral:rRNA from 1 species
UACGUAGGGGGCAAGCGUUGUCCGGAUUUAUUGGGCGUAAAGAGCGUGUAGGCGGCCAUGUAGGUCCGGUUGUGAAAAACUCGAGGCUCAACCUCGAGACGCCGAUGGAAACCAUCUGGCUAGAGUCCGGAAGAGGAGAGUGGAAGUUCCGUGGAUGUAGCGGUGAAAUGCGCAGAUAUCAGGAGGAACACCGGGUGGCGAAGGCGGUUCUCUGGGCCUUACCUGACGCUGAGGAGCGAAAGCGUGGGGAGCAAACAGG